GUUCAGUUUUCGUAACAAACGGUAUAGAUCAAAAAACAUUAAAAAAAAGUGUUUGCUUAUUAUUUUGAAAUCUACUGGGAAUUUUUAUAAUUUUGAAAGUAUUUAAAAGCACAUCAUUCUCACAAAAUGUGGAUAACGUUUUUCUGCUGGAUUAAGAAAAUUAAGAUUCAAUGGACGUCAAAAAUGAUGGCGAUACAAUGCCUAAACUUUGUUUUGAAACAUUUUUUGGGAUUUAACUGAAGUUGGAGACUACGCCUGGAAUGUUUACAUCCUUGUAGAUACACCUGCGCCUUAAACUAAACACAAAUGUUACCGGAAAAAUUAAGUUUUACAAAUUUAAUCAAUAAGUCAACAUUCACUGUUGACUGUCAGCAUUCACCAAUACCUAGUGGACAUUCACAGUAACGCAUACAUAGGCAAUAUGAUUGACGUUUACUCUUAGCAGUUAGUGAGUAAAGAAGAAAACAUAAGACAAAAAAAAAACCAGCAGCACGUUUUUGAAAUGAAUUUUACAUCAAAUGUGAACUGAGUUGUAGUAAAACA